UAUUUACUCCCUCCGUUCGGAAUUACUUGUCGCAGAAAUGGAUAUAUCUAGACGUAUUUUAGUUCUAGAUACAUCCAUUUCCGAGACAAGUAAUUCCGAACGGAGGGAGUAGUAC
rnacentral:pre_miRNA from 1 species